rnacentral:rRNA from 1 species
UACGUAGGGUGCAAGCGUUAAGCGGAAUUACUGGGCGUAAAGCGUGCGCAGGCGGUUUGCUAAGACAGAUGUGAAAUCCCCGGGCUUAACCUGGGAACUGCCUUUGUGACUGGCGGGCUAGAGUAUGGCAGAGGGGGGUAGAAUUCCACGUGUAGCAGUGAAAUGCGUAGAGAUGUGGAGGAAUACCGAUGGCGAAGGCAGCCCCCUGGGCCAAUACUGACGCUCAUGCACGAAAGCGUGGGGAGCAAACAGG